AGAGUUUGAUCAUGGCUCAGAUUGAACGCUGGCGGCAGGCUUAACACAUGCAAGUCGAGCGGAGAUGAGGUGCUUGCACCUUAUCUUAGCGGCGGACGGGUGAGUAAUGCUUAGGAAUCUGCCUAUUAGUGGGGGACAACAUUCCGAAAGGGAUGCUAAUACCGCAUACGUCCUACGGGAGAAAGCAGGGGAUCUUCGGACCUUGCGCUAAUAGAUGAGCCUAAGUCGGAUUAGCUAGUUGGUGGGGUAAAGGCCUACCAAGGCGACGAUCUGUAGCGGGUCUGAGAGGAUGAUCCGCCACACUGGGACUGAGACACGGCCCAGACUCCUACGGGAGGCAGC
rnacentral:rRNA from 1 species